UACAGAGGUCUCAAGCGUUGUUCGGAUUCAUUGGGCGUAAAGGGUGCGUAGGCGGCGCGGUAAGUCGGGUGUGAAAUCCCGGGGCUCAACCCCGGAACUGCAUUUGAAACUGCCUUGCUCGAGUACUGGAGAGGAGACCGGAAUUUACGGUGUAGCAGUGAAAUGCGUAGAUAUCGUAAGGAAGACCAGUGGCGAAGGCGAGUCUCUGGACAGUUACUGACACUGAGGCACGAAGGCCAGGGGAGCAAACGGG
rnacentral:rRNA from 1 species